AUUGAACGCUGGCGGCAUGCCUUACACAUGCAAGUCGAACGGCAGCACGGGGGCAAUCCUGGUGGCGAGUGGCGAACGGGUGAGUAAUACAUCGGAACGUGCCCAAUCGUGGGGGAUAACGCAGCGAAAGCUGUGCUAAUACCGCAUACGAUCUACGGAUGAAAGCAGGGGAUCGCAAGACCUUGCGCGAAUGGAGCGGC
rnacentral:rRNA from 1 species